CACGUUAAACGCCGAUAGAAAAAAAUAAAAAUCGUAAAAAUACUUUUGGUCGUAAUUUGUUUAUUAUGUUACGAUACGUAUAGAAAAUAAGUUUUAUUCAAUUCUGUACAUGGGUUACAUAGUUACAGUCAAAUACAUAGCUGAGGUCACCGGUGCACCCCAUGGCGCACAAAUACAGAAAAUAUAUUUUCCGGUACCCGGCGCCGCGCCGGCCACCCCGCCGGCCAUUUUAUUUUUCAGUAAAACUGAUUUUUAUGUUUAUAUUUCAUUAAAAAAUAAAGACUGCUAAUUUUCGUUUAAAUAAUAAAGACUAAUUUGAAUUAUAUAUCCUGAAUUUUUAUUUUGGUUACUUUUUUCGCUAUCUUUCAUUUUUUUUUUCAAUUCCUUACAAGGUAUGUUUGUCCCACUGCGCAGUAUAGUUCUACAGCGCCGUGCCGGUCACGGAGUACGAAUAAAGUAACAGUCAGUAUGGCCGGCGGCGAGAAAAAGUAGUUUGAAUAUGACUAUACGUUGAGGUCACCGGUGACCCCCAUGGCGUUUAACGUGUUAA